rnacentral:rRNA from 1 species
AGAUCAUCACUGGGUAUAAAGCGUGCGCAGGCGGUUUUGUAAGACAGAGGUGAAAUCCCCGGGCUCAACCUGGGAACUGCCUUUGUGACUGCAAGGCUGGAGUGCGGCAGAGGGGGAUGGAAUUCCGCGUGUAGCAGUGAAAUGCGUAGAUAUGCGGAGGAACACCGAUGGCGAAGGCAAUCCCCCUGGGCCUGCACUGACGCUCAUGCACGAAAGCGUAGGGAGCAAACA